CCGAUACUUUUAUCAUAGACACGCGGCGAUUGAUUCCAUGAUUCAUAUGAUAUUUACGAUCGCGAUGACAUUUCACAUUUGGCGUUUGUUCAGUUGCCCCUGGAAUUCUGUGCGGGAACGACGGCGCGAGAAGUUGCAAGAACAACAAACCGACCGCGAAAAGGCGAAAACACAAGGAUCCCCGAAAUUUUUCCAAGGCGAUACAGAGAAAAUAAGAGAGACGAACAGACUUCGAACGAUACACCGCAUGGUCGGAAUCGUCGAAUGGGAAAUCACCGAGUAUAAAUAGAAGAUGACUCGCGGUCUGGACUCGCUUGGACACCGUCAGUCGAUGAUCAUACUUUAGCACCGCUAAGUGGGUAUCGAUACAGCAGUACUUGGUUAACUGGCCACGAUCCGGAACCUUAUCUGGCCAGUUAUCGAGAAACAUAACGCCAGAGGUACAUUCACGAAAACGGUACGAAGAAUUGGCGGGGAUAGCGAUAGCCGGCUAAAGAAGUGAAACGGCGAACAAUUAACGCGACAUUACCGUACAUCUCUGACAGAUCCUAUAUAUGCGUAAAAAUGUACACGCAUCGAAUAAGGUAUCCGGUACAUCCUUGGAGCAUCGUUCCGCAUGUUCCAAAAAUAACUAAGGCCAGAUGUGUCAUAUUACACUUAUACGUACGAAACAUAUAUUGCUUUUAUAUCUACUGAUAACAAUCGAAACGUUCGUAAACCCUGUUACGUUUAUCUCGGUCGGUAUAAUCGAGUAGCAAUAUGAAAAAUAAUAUGUCUGACGUUUUCAACCUACACGUGUCGUCAUACAUGCCGCUUUUGUAAUUACACGCCUGUACACAACGUUUUAUUGCUCGUGCGUGAAAUUUUAAUCGAGUCUCCCAGCUCCCGGGUAGUUUCGCACAGUAAAGUAGAAUAUAAAGAAACCAAAGGAUACGAUCGGCUCUGCUUGCACCGUAAUACGCGUAUAGCGCCAUUUCCGUGAACAAAGGAGGAACUAAAUAACCCGAUUAUUUCGGUGUUUCGAAGCUUUCGUAUUUGCCCAUUUCGUAUUCGCGUUCCAUUAAAAUUAAGUCCAUUAACGCAAAAUUAGCCCUCCGGGUGCAAGUUACUUUUUACUAACACAGCGUACCACGGUAGAGCACCUAAGAUCGUGUUUCUAACGUGUUCGAGGCUUUGAAAAAUUUAGAAAAAUUUAUGGCUACUUUUAACGCCUCUACUACGAUAUCCUGAUAGGCGUCGAGAUGAAACGUUAAACAAUUUGUUGUUAAAAACUCGAA